UAGGGAAUAUUAGAAAUGGACGAAAGUCUGAUCUAGCAACACCGCGUGUGCGAAGAAGGCCUUAGGGUUGUAAAGCACUUUUUGGAAGGAUUAGGAAGGAAUGUACUUCCAGAAUAAGUCUCGGCUAACUACGUGCCAGCAGCCGCGGUAAAACGUAGGAGGCGAGCGUUAUCCGGAUUUACUGGGCGUAAAGCGUGUGUAGGCGGUUUGAUAAGUUGGAUGUGAAAGCUCCUGGCUUAACUGGGAGAGGUCGUUCAAAACUAUCAGACUUGAGAGUGGUAGAGGGAGGUGGAAUUCCGCAUGUAGUGGUGUAAUGCGUAGAUAUGCGUAGGAACACCAGUGGCGAAAGCGGCCUCCUGGCCCAUUUCUGACGCUCAGACACGAAAGCUAAGGUAGCAAACG
rnacentral:rRNA from 1 species